rnacentral:rRNA from 1 species
GGAUGCGAUCAUACCAGCACUAAAGCAUCGGAUCCCAUCAGAACUCCGAAGUUAAGCGUGCUUGGGCGAGGGUAGUACUAGGAUGGGUGACCUCCUGGGAAGUCCUCGUGUUGCCUUCC